rnacentral:lncRNA from 10 species
GCAGAAAGGAAAGGGGAAAGAAGAAAAAUAAAUCCCAAACUUUGGACCUACCUUCUCCUGGAAUUUCUCCUGACUGGCUCAUCAAAAUACGUUACCAGUGGAGGGUGUCCAGGUUCUUGGCAUCUUGAACAAAGAAUUGGACGAAAUGCACAAAGCAAGGAGGGAAUGAAGAGAUUUAUUGAAAAUGAAGGUACACUCCACAGUGUGGGAGCGGGCCUGAGCAUAGGGUGCCGUUACAGAAUUGAUGGGGAUUUAAAUACCCUCUAGAAGAUUCCACUGGUUACUUGGGGGCACGCCCUAUGUAAAUGAAGAGGAUGAAGUAAAGUUACAAAAUCAUUUACUCAAUGUAUGCCCUAUUUAUUUGUCUAAUAUUUUAUACAUUUCAAAUAUAAAUUUUAGAAGAUGAGAUAAUGAAACAAUAGUGUUUUAGAAACUGUAUUUAUUAACAGCACAAAAACAGUUUCCCAUGCCAGGCAUGAUGGUGUAUGGAGCCCGUAGUCCCAGCUACUAGGGAGGCUGAGGUGGGAGGACCGCUUGAGCCCAGGAGUUUGAGGCUGCAGUGAAUUAUGAUCAUACCACUGCACUCCAGCCUGGGUGACAGAGCAAGACUGUCUCAAAAGAAAAGAAGAAAAAAGAAGUUCUGAUUUCCACUAAAAUGGAUAGGCUCACCCCUCUCCUAGGGUACACUCUUCCCACCUUGGACACCACUGAUGACAUGCAUACAAUAACAUCCUCCUAACAUUUUUCUAGCCUCAUAUCCUACUUGAGUCUACCCUACAGAUAGCUGCCCAAGUCAACUUUUUCAAUGUAUAUCUAAUUCACAGUACCUAGAACCAGGCAAACAUGCAAUUCCUUAAGAAUGAAUAGCGAUGAUACUGAAAUAACCAAAUUAUUUUGCAUAAUUCUGUAUGGGCUAAAAGUUGACCCAAUGAAUGCAUAGAAAGAAUUUUUUCCCUUAUCUAUAAAUUCUCCUAUCCUAAUAAAUUUAUUUAGGAAUUUCCUUGAUUGAUUUACUUCUGACCCAUAUGUCAGAGAAUCAGGCUGAGAGAAUGAGUAUGUUCUAGGCCUUGUGAAGGUAAAGGUAAAUAUCAGCUUGCCCAAAACACAAAGCAGGACUUUUUAAAGUUUGAUUAAUUUCACUCAUCAAACAUUUAUUAAAUAAUGACUACAUGGUAUUUUGUGCUUAGUACCAAGGGAAAUCUGUAAAUGUGUAAGACAUGUUUCCUAUUUGAGCAAUCAGGCUACAGUACUAUAUGAGGAAACAUAAGGGAUAUUAUUAUUAUUAUGUAAACGCAAGGCAGGAUUCUAUCCACUAGAGCCUAACUAGAUAAAAUUAUGUUUCCUUAUUAACAUUCAUUCCUUUGCCCCCAGCAUUUUCUUUUUUCUUCUUCUUCCUCCUCCUCCUCCUUCUCUUCCUCCUCCUCCUUCUCCUCCUCCUCCUCCUUCUUCUUCUUCCUGUUCUUCUUCCUCUUCCUCUUCUUCCUUUCCUUCUUCUUCGAGAUGGGGGUCUUGUAAUGUUGCCCAGGCUGGUCUCAAACUCCUGGCCUCAAGCCAUCCUCCUGUCUCAGCCUCCCAAAGUGCUGAGAUUAAAGGCGUGAGCCACCAUGCCUAGCUGAAGCAUUUACUUCUUUCCCCAGCACCUUCUCAAAAAGUACAUACUCCAUAAGCCAUGAUGGCUUUCAAAUUGCCAAAUUCUUCAGACUUAGUUUUUUAAAGUUUACUCGUUAUCAAACUUUGGAAUAUGCCAGAAUCACCUUGAAGCCUUUUAAAAACACAGACUGCUGGGCCCCACUUCCAGAUUUUCUUAUUCAGUUUUGUGUGCUACCCAAAAAUACAUAUUCCAGAGCUGGGCAUGGUGGCGUGCACCAAUAAUACUAGCUAAUCAGGAGGCUGAGGUGGGAGGAUCACAUGAGCCCAGGAGCUCAGGUCUAGCUGGGGCAACAUAGUGAGAUCCUGUCUCUUAAAAAAAAUUAUAAACUUCUAUCAAGGCUCCCUUAGCCUAAUGU